rnacentral:rRNA from 1 species
AUUGAACGCUGGCGGCAUGCCUUACACAUGCAAGUCGAACGGCAGCACGGGGCAACCUGGUGGCGAGUGGCGAACGGGUGAGUAAUGCAUCGGAACGUACCUUUCAGUGGGGGAUAACGUAGCGAAAGUUACGCUAAUACCGCAUAUUCUGUGAGCAGGAAAGCAGGGGAUCGCAAGACCUUGCGCUGAUUGAGCGGCCGAUGUCAGAUUAGCUAGUUGGUGAGGUAAAGGCUCACCAAGGCGACGAUCUGUAGCGGGUCUGAGAGGAUGAGCCGCCAAACUGGAACUGGGACACGGUCCAGACUCCUACGGGAGGCAGCAGUGGGGGAUUUUGGACAAUGGGGGAAACCCUGAUCCAGCCAUGCCGCGUGAGUGAAGAAGGCCUUCGGGUUGUAAAGCUCUUUCGGCCGGGAAGAAAUCGCACGGGCUAAUACCCUGUGUGGAUGACGGUACCGGAAUAAGAAGCACCGGCUAACUACGUGCCAGCAGCCGCCGUAAUAC